GCGGCAGCAGGGUUGGGCUCUCGCCGUGAGUCGACGAAGGGAGCGCGGGCGCGCGCCCGCGUCCGCGCACUGAGAGUCGCCUCGGCCGCUCGCUUUCUCGACUCCCGCCUCGCGCCUCGAUCCUGUUCCGCCUCCCUCGGCCCUCCUGCCCGCCCCCACUCGUCGGCCCUCAGGUACCUAAAAUGUCUCAUUAUUCAUCAAUUAAUGAAAAACAAAUGAAAAUUUGAGAGAGAUAUUCUGAAGAAUAAAAGGAUCAAGUUGGGUCAUUUCUAAAAUCUCAGAGACCUAAUAGGAUGGGGUCUUAGAGAAACAUCUUUUGAGCCACAGACUUCUUUGUUACCAGAAGGAAAAUGAAAGAAGAAAUUUAAAUACCACUUGAAGAGAGAGAGUGUGAAGAAAUGACCCUGAAAAGCCUCUGGCAGAGGAUUCUUCUUUCAGGAUGGUGUCGCCUCCUCAGCAGCCCAUCCUCCUCCCCUGGACUCAAGCUCUCAUUCCAGUAACACUCCUUCCUCCUUCUCCAUCUUCAGGGGGAGGUUUGCCAGUCGGUGGGUUCUAAGCAUAUCUCGCUGAUUCCCCCCAACCCUGCCGACACCUCUGUAGGUCGUCCCUUCAUUAAAAUCUCUCCAUUUGAACUAUCUGAGUUUAAUUCCAUUUCCUCCUGGUAUCUCAGUGAUACACGGUAUCAGUACAAAAAUCUCGCUUCACCUUCAGAACCAACAGAUUUGAGACAUUUUAUCCUCUGUGGAACCAUUAGUUAUUUUGUCAUUGGUUGUAUCAGAAAAAAAAAUCAGGAAUGCAAAUCCUUCUUUAUUACAGAUUCAGAUUUGCAUAUUACCAAUGUUAUAUAUUUUAAACAAAACUAUUCAUCAUAAGUUUUAAAAAUUAACUACUGGAGUAGUUAAUGAAUCUGAAUGUAAUUAUGUAGCUUUCAUAAUAUUAAAGUAAAAAUACUAAAAGAAGUAUUUCUUAAAGAAGCAAAUGCUCAAUCUCCAAGUAAAUUUUAUUCUAUGCUCUUCCGGUAUAAGAAUAUGUUAAUAUCUUGAAAAAUAUCAUAUUAUUUUGUGAACUCAUAAAGCUAUUUUGAGUUUUUGUAAAAUGAAAACCUUACCAAAAUGUAUUUUAUUGUUGGAAAGCUUGACCGUUACUGCUGUUUAAUUUUUUGAGCUUGUAAACUUUAUUUGUGCAUGUUUUCAACAAAGAAGGAUUUUAUUGUUAUUACAUAAAACAGGUGAUUUCUAGAUUUUAAAAUCACAAAUUGAAAGCAAGGCACAAUAAUAUAUAUUUCAAGAUAUAGGUACUUAGGAGGCAUCCUUUUAGUCAUCUGUUCAAUGUAGCCAUCUAUUUUACACCUACUGUCUACUAUUGUUUGAGGUCCUUGCCAAAGUAUUGCAGGCUAGUUAGGAAACAUAAAACAAUUAGAAAGUAAUCUAUGACAAGUAAGCUAUCUAUAAAUGGCAAUGAAGGGUAGAACAAAUUCAAUGAAAAUAUCUAUUUAAUCCUAGUGUUUACUGGUCUAGAAGAAUAGGCUGAGUAAAUUAGUAUUUCUCUGGCUGUUGUGGUAACACAUUGCAUGCUAUAACAGUUUUAAGUAAUUACAGGUGCAUUGAAAUUUAUCUAUGGCUUUGUCAUCAUAUUCUAAAAUGUCAUGAGUACUUUUUUCUGACCUCAAUUACUAUGAAAUUGGUUUCCAAUAUUUAAUUAACCAAGAAUAUCAAGUCUAUAGGGUAUUAUUAAGGUGAGACUUCUGUAGCCUUUUCAAUAAAGACCAGAAUUUUGGAGUGCCUUGAACCUUAAUCAUUGAUCUUUAAUUCUUAUUAAGUCAACUGCCCACCUUUUAAAGACUGAGGCCCAGGAAGAGUAAGUUUCUCUGAGACAAUGCAUACAGUACAGUGCUUCUUGGGUAUUGGCUCUAAGACCAGAUGCAAAGAAAGGCUAAAAUCCCAUUUCAUUGUUCAUUAGGUGAGAACCCUUUGUUAAGCUGUGUAACCUCUGUGCAUAGUUUCCUCAUCAGCAAAGUCAGAAAAAGUAUGUACCUGAAGGACUGAUUGUAAGGCUGGGAUGAGAGAAUCCAUGUGAUCAGCCCUCACCAACAGGUGCUGCCCAGUUCAUGAGUGCUGCUGCUGUCCUGCCCAAGUACCCAGCUUGCAGAGUGCCAGAGUUAGAGUCCCAGGGGUGUUCUCCACAGCUGCAUGCUUGAUCCAGGCCUAUCAGAUAUAUUCCAUUGAAAGUCCUCAUUCUCAAAUUUAAAACAAAGACUUUUUGUGUACCUCAAUAGCAAUGCACACACAGUUGGCUUCACAAACAUAUUGUACAUUUCUUUUUUUCAUAUUUAUUCAACAAAUGUAUAUUGACUACCCACCGUGUGACAGGUGUUAUUUGUUGACGGAACCAGGCAUCAUCAGCAAACAAAACUGACAAAGCUUCCUGCCCUCUGUGGAAGGCAUCUGAGGAAGAGACUGGAUUUUGUAGCAACAUGUUAUUCUCAUUAUAAACUUUAUCAUUGGAAUACUAAAGCCAAAUCAUCCCCCAUCUCCUUGAUCAGGAUACCCACUUAAUCUAGGCAGCUACACAAUUGUGAGAGCCUUUGUUUUUUUCUGCUGAAACAUCCUUAAAAAGAUACCUCACAACCCAAGAUUUGGCUUUUCUUAAAUACGAUUUUUAAUUUUUUUCAUUUCUAUCUAGAGAUUUAAUUGGAAAUGGAAAAUCAUCAAUUUUCCAAUUAAAUGUCUGUUCCAAUCAACAUUAUACCUUUUAGGUUGUCAUUGUCAUUUUUAAGUUUAAGCAACUUUAAGGAUUUUGAAUCUGGCUGCCUGUAAAUUAAAGGUGAAAGUAAUCAUUGUGUUGGAUUGGAACAUUUUGUCAAUUGAGAGUGGUUUCCUUGUUCUUAGUGUAUGAAAAGUUUAUUUUUCUAAUGUAGAUUAAUAAAGGAGAUAAAGAAAAACAAAAUGAGU
rnacentral:lncRNA from 1 species